rnacentral:rRNA from 1 species
GACGAACGCUGGCGGCGUGCUUAACACAUGCAAGUCGAGCGGAAAGGCCACUUCGGUGGUACUCGAGCGGCGAACGGGUGAGUAACACGUGAGUAAUCUGCCCCUGGCUUUGGGAUAGCCACCGGAAACGGUGAUUAAUACCGGAUAUGACACAUUCUCGCAUGAGUUUGUGUGGAAAGUUUUUCGGCCAGGGAUGUGCUCGCGGCCUAUCAGCUUGAUGGUGAGGUAAUGGCUCACCAUGGCUUCGAGGGGUAGCCGGCCUGGGAGGGUGACCGGUCACCAGGGGCCUGAGGGAGGGCCAAGUCGCGAAGGGGGGGCAAAGGGGGGAAUUAUGGAAGAGGGGCGGGACGCGGGUUCCGGAAGCGCCGGGGGGGGAAGACCGGCUUUGGGGUGAAAAACAUCUUUCAGAACAAACAAGGCGAAAGUGACGGUAGGUAAAAAGAAAGCCCCGGCUAACUACGUG